GAUGAACGCUGGCGGCGUGCCUAAUACAUGCAAGUCGAGCGAACAGAUGAGGAGCUUGCUCCUCUGACGUUAGCGGCGGACGGGUGAGUAACACGUGGAUAACCUACCUAUAAGACUGGGAAAACUUCGGGAAACCGGAUCUAAUACCGGAUAAUAUAUUGAACCGCGUGGUUCAAUAGUGAAAGACGGCUUUGCUGUCACUUAUAGAUGGAUCCGCGCUGCAUUAGCUAGUUGGUAAGGUAACGGCUUACCAAGGCAACGAUGCGUAGCCGACCUGUGAGGGUGAACGGCCACACUGGAACUGAGACACGGUCCAGACUCCUACGGGAGGCAGCAGUAGGGAAGCGUCCGCAAUGGGCGAAAGCCUGACGGAGCAACGCCGCGUGAGUGAAGAAGGUCUUCGGAUCGUAAAACUCUGUUAUUAGGGAAGAACAAAUGUGUAAGUAACUAUGCACGUCUUGACGGUACCUGAUCAGAAAGCCACGGCUAACAACGU
rnacentral:rRNA from 1 species